GCAUGAUGGGUACAUAGGAUGUAGGAGAAUUACAGCAGAAUCAAGGGUAGAUUUUGAGUUGUGGAAGCUGAUGUGAGCAAAACGUCUGAACGAGGAUCCUGAAGAAUGAAGGGCUCCAAAGUGACAAAAGCGAGAGGAGAGGAGAGAAGAAAAUAAAGAAUAGAAGAAAAAAAAUCUCUGCCUUCUCGAGAUCAUCACUCCUAGCCUCCUCUGGAAACUCUCCGAGAGCCAACGAAUUGUCUUAUAAGUGGCCCGCACAGGGACAAGGUCAAGACAUGGGCAGUUUUCAGUUGUGUGAAAGUCUCUCAGAUUGUAGCACCCAGUAUACAAUUAUGAACCAAAUAAUCAGAUUUGUUCUCUGGCUGGAUUACACUUUCUCCUGGAUAUCAUUUACAUUUCACCAAGGCCACAGGAGGAAAAGCGAAGAUCAAGCCUCCACAACAAAGGCCAACCACCUCCACCCGGUACCAACACUUCUCAUGCCUCCGGGACAUAAUGCCAGUGGCCCAGGCCUGGUAUCUCUUCUCUUCCUCCUCCUCCCUCUCCUCCUCGUCCAUCUGGCCUGUGAUGGAAGAACACUGAGCUGAGGUCAGGGACCAGAGGCCCCAGAGUGAUCUUGGGUAGAAACGAACAGGAACCUCUACCCUCUUCUGUCAGUGCUGGACAUCGUGAGGGAGGCCCCAGGCUUUGCAGAGCAGCAGAGUGGGAGUGUGUGCAGGUGAGGGGACUGGCUGAGUCUGGAAUGAGUGGCUAUUCUGAGCUUCCAUGCACCUGAGCAGGGUACAUGAGGGUCCUGAGGAUCCAAGCCAGCUUGGGAAGAAACCUGUGUCCCACGUCUGCCUUCUUGUUCCACACAAACCUGGCUGGGCUAGUGCUGGGAGCUGGGAUGGGGUUGAGCCUGCCUGGUUAGACUCUGGGCCACUAUACCCUGAGCGAGGGGCAAGUGAGGUGGAUGGGUGGUGCCACUGCCAGGGUGGGGAUGUUUGCCUUAUCCCACCUGCCCCGCCUAACCAGUCUCCCUGCCACCCCCGUGUGUCCCUGCCACAGCCACACGCACAAGGAGUAUGCACUGUUGUGCCACCCCAUCACUGAGUGUACCUGAGUGGCAGGAGGCAGGAAGCAGAACUGGUUGGGCCCUGCUUGUGCUGCUCUGUCCCCUAAUUAGGUGUUUCCGGCAAGGCGGCGGCCACUGUGGCUACUCAUCACCCGCCCACAGCUGUGGAGUGUGGCAAGGCCAAACCAGCCCAGCCCUCUCCUUAUGCCCUCCGGGAGCUUAUGGGUUCUCCUCCUGUUGACCCAACUUGCCUCUACCUGGUGAUGUUGAGGGCUAAUCCCAAAGCAGAGGCAAGGACACCAGGGGCUGUGCCCAGGGCAGCUUCCCCUGUAAGGGCUGUCUCCUACCUUACCUUCCACAAGUAUCCUCUCUCUUAGAUUGAAAGCUACUGGUCCAAAUACUAGACAGAGUGUCAGGUCCUACCUACCCCAUUCAGGGCCUCAGGACAUGGCUGGGCAUGAGGCCUGGUCCCUGGCUCUCUGGGGAGAGCAAAUGAAGGAGAUGCAAGGCCACCCAGCCUCCUGGGCCCCACCUGAGAGCACGGGUCUGAUGCCAAUGCUGCCCUGGGGCAUAAGGCUCAGUUUAGUUCUAAAGGUGAGGCAGGACCCCAGGCUGGCAUGGAGCAGCCUUCCUCUUUAUCAGGAAGGGCUGGUGUCCCCCUGCUUGUCUCCCUAGUCGCUGUACAUCAGCUAAUGGUUACCUGAAAGGAUCCAGCACCAGCCAACUGGCAGAGGUGUGCAGCCCCAGAAACACCUGGGUUGGUGUCUUAGCCUUUUGUUUCUGUUCUGUGAACUGCCAGAAGUUCUUCUCUCAUGCAGUAUCUUUUUCUCCUUUUCCAACCAUUUUUCACUGUGUCCACGCUGAAGUGAACCUGCACCUCAGCUCUCACACCAGCCUGCCCAGCCCAGAAUGGCUGGGAGCUGUGCUUCCUGCAUCCUCCCACCCUCCAGCCCUCCAGCCAGUGCAGGAUGCUACCCCAUCAGGACUGCACACAGUACCUGUUGAAAAUGAACCAUGAUACAAAGGAACCCUGACCUCAUCAACAGCCAGGCUUCCCUCGCCAUCCUCCCUGCAGCCAAAGGACUUGCCCUCACCUGCUCUCUUUCUGGACAAAUGGUCUGGCAGGCUUCCAUCUCAGGAUACCCAAACUCAGGACAAACAACAGGGUGAUAACACCCCCUGGUACAGCAGGGCCAGGGGUUUGGAGGAAUUGGCUUCGGCCCUGUCCCUGGAGUCCUUCCCCAUCAGUCAACAAGGCGGAAUUUACCCCCUGGACACAGGUUGUUGUCCCUGUGAUGCUUUGAGGGUCUCAGAGGAACCUGGCAGGAGGUCAGAACUCAAAUGCUCCCAUUUUCCCCAGACUUUCCAGGGUCAGUGCUUAGAUGGUCACAACGUGCCAGGAGUCUGUAAGGUGGGGUAAUGGAAACAUGCCUAGCCAGCUCCUGGGGUCAUGGUUGGCUGGUGAUGGAAUGGCCUAGCCAGGGGACAGGCCACCACAAAACACACCCCUGUCUCUCCAGCCAUCUGAGGCAUCUGAGCAUGGACUAUGGACAUUCCCUUUCUCAUUUCCACAAACUGAGGGAAAACUCUCCAGUGGCCCACACAGCUUUUAGAGGUUAAAAUAAGUUCUGUCAGUUCUAUCCUUUACUUGAUCCUACAGGAUUCUCCCCUCACCAGAGCAAUGAGGGCAGAUUCUCACCCUCACCCAGACCCCCAACCCAAUGUCCUGGACAAGAGCAAGUGGCCUGCAGGUCUCCCUCACCUGGAUGGCAGUAGUAGAUGGCAUGGAUCACCCAGAAGCCCUCCCCUGCACCUGAAGGGACAGCCCCUGGGGCACAGGUCUUCCCUGGCACUCCUACCAAGGCAACUGUGGUGAGGAAAAUCACUAGGACUCAAGGAAGUCAAUGAUUUGAACAAACGGGAUUUCUUUGUCCUUUGUAAAAGUCAACACAUGAUCUGUUACUGAUUGGGAUGUGAAAUUAAACUAAAAAUAACAGCACACUGAGUCUGGCUUAAGGCUCAGCUCACCUUUAACACAGUCCAAGUUCAGUUUAUCAGAUCCCAAGGAGCAGCUAAGCAGCAAGUCAAACACAGGUUGGGGUGGAGGCAGAAGCAAGGAGGGGGCUCUGUCCCUCUGCAGCCCUUCCCUAGAUGGAGAACCAGUCAGCUUGCCCCGGACUUGGCAAAGCCAGAAGCAGUACACAAAGACCUGACCUGCAUCCUGAUUUAUUUCAGGAGGCCACAGAAGAGGGGCCCAGCUGAUUGAGAGCAGGUUAAGGUGAAACAUCCCACCAGCACCAUAGGCCCUUGGAUCUUGGGCAGGUCAGGCCACAAAGACCUCACUACUACACCACUGCCUCCAACAGCUUAUUCAUAAGGGAAACUGAGGCAAGAGCCCUUAGGGCCCCUCACCGCUGCCCUCAUUUUCCCACUUUCCUACAAGGCUUGGGCGGUGCCAGGGAGCCUGCAGAUCAAGGGUCAAAGUCGGUUGGUUAAUUACCACCUCUCCCCCCACCGAGGCGCUGGGCGGGUGUUCGGUGCAUCCCUGCCCCACCCCCAAGGACUGGGGAGGGGAGUAGCGAAGGAAGUUGGCUUUCUCCAGACCAAAGACUUUGGUGGGGGUGGGGGAAGGACAGAGGGGCAGAAGUGUUCUCAGGGCUUGCAAGGGAAGACGCCACUGGAGGAAGAAACAACUCAGGUUACUCAUUCACAAUUGACGCUGUCAAGGCGUCUGCCAAAAAUAAAAUGAGUACACCAGCUUCCCUGGGCCCGGUACCCUGGCUUGGGGUGGGCUCCUUUAAACGGUUUUCCGCUCAGUUGUGACCUCUGCAAGGCUGAAGGAAGUUACGUUUCUAACAGGUGAGAUUCGAUCCCACCUUUGUUUUAAGGGCACUUAAGGACGGAGUAAGGCGGGCGCUUUCGCCACUGUUUCGGUGCACUGUGCGGGACCACCGGCCUGAGCCGCCGAACACCCCUACUCGCCACUAGUACUGUGAGGAAGAAGAGACCUAUGCGAGCGGGUUGGGCUCUGAUUUAGCGCAAAUCUCCACCGAAACUCCAGCUCGGUCCCCGCCUCCCAAAGUGGCAUCGCUCCAGUGCUCUCCUCCCGCCUCUUGAAAGUCCUCGGCUUUCAGGAUUUACGACGCGAGAGCCGAGGGUCGCCUGAGCGGUGACACACCCCGUUGCCUCCCCUGCGCUGCGGCUCGGGCCGGUGCAGGGGAGGCGGCCCCAAACCCCCCGGGCCUGGCGGGCUUCACCUUGCGGCCCCCGCCCCCACUCGGCGCUGCUUCCGCCGGCCCUGCCCCCAGCCCCGCGCCCUGGGUCGGCGCCCAAGGGCUAGCGGGGCCGCCUCACCUGGCAC